UACGGAGGAUGCGAGCGUUAUCCGGAUUCAUUGGGUUUAAAGGGUGCGUAGGCGGUUUUUUAAGUCAGUGGUGAAAUCCUGCGGCUCAACCGUAGAACUGCCAUUGAAACUGAAGAACUUGAAUAUAGUUGAGGUAGGCGGAAUGUGCAGUGUAGCGGUGAAAUGCUUAGAUAUUGCACAGAACACCGAUUGCGAAGGCAGCUUACCAAGCUAUUAUUGACGCUGAGGCACGAAAGCGUGGGGAUCGAACAGG
rnacentral:rRNA from 1 species